rnacentral:rRNA from 1 species
CCUACGGGGGGCUGCAGUGGGGAAUAUUGGACAAUGGGGGGAACCCUGAUCCAGCCAUGCCGCGUGUGUGAAGAAGGCCCUCGGGUUGUAAAGCACUUUCAGUGAGGAAGAACGCCUGGUGGUUAAUACCCAUCAGGAAAGACAUCACUCACAGAAGAAGCACCGGCUAACUCCGUGCCAGCAGCCGCGGUAAUACGGAGGGUGCGAGCGUUAAUCGGAAUUACUGGGCGUAAAGCGCGCGUAGGUGGCUUGAUAAGCCGGUUGUGAAAGCCCCGGGCUCAACCUGGGAACGGCAUCCGGAACUGUCAAGCUAGAGUGCAGGAGAGGAAGGUAGUAUUCCCGGUGUAGCGGUGAAAUGCGUAGAGAGCGGGAGGAAUACCAGUGGCGAAGGCGGCCUUCUGGACUUACACUGACACUGAGGUGCGAAAGCGUGGGUAGCAAACAGGAUUAGAUACCCGAGUAGUC